CGCUUCAUCGCUUGCGGGUGCUUCAAAGCCCCGGGUGAUAAGCAAAACAGGUUCUCCUGGCGUGUCUUGGUGCAGCAGGUGCUCCCUCCCUCAUCUGUAUGCGAUACGCCCUCCUUGCCUCGCUCGUCGCCACGACCAGCGAGGCAUUUU
rnacentral:sRNA from 1 species